UCCGACCACUCUCCCUCCCUCAUUCACUCUCAUCUGAUUUUUGAAGACUCUCUCAAGUGUUCUCUCCAUUUUCAACCCCAAGAACACCAAAGAAACUUGGAAGCUAAGUCUUGGUCUUGGAAGGGUUUUCCCUAAGUUGGUUAGGGUUUUUGAAAGGUUUUGAAGGAGUCAAAGCUUAUAGGAAGGUCCAAACCUUAAGCAAGAACACCAAAGAGGUAAGAGCAAGGGCAAGGCAGAGCAGUGAGCGCUGGAGUCUUCCUUGCAAAUGUACAUGUGGACCGACCUUUUGGGAAGCCUUUUUAUUUUUGGAAAUGUUGUGUAAUUUUCCUAAACUAGGCUCACUCUAAUCUUUAUAAAACAUGUUUGUAACUAAAUGUUAAGUAUGGCCAUACGACUUUUUAAUUUUUUUUUUUUCUAUGGGUUUUUGAGACAUUUUGUUAAAUGAAAACAGUUAUAUUUCCGCAUUAUCGAGUCUUGAAAAUCCGGGUCGUUACAACAUGUUCUAAACAUGAUCAAAACAAUGCGUGAUGCGGAAGUUCAUGGAGCAACCAUUGAUGAGGGAACUCAAGUUAGUCUGAUACUUGAAUCACUCUUUCCAGCUUUUUCCACAUUUACUACCAACUAUGUUAUGAACUAGUUGGAAUAUAAUAUCCCUAGCUGUUAAAUGAUGUAA